GCAGAGUUGGAUGGUGAGCCGUGCAUUGCAUGACGUGCAAUUUUGUGCUGUUUCUAUCAGAAUAAAUCUCCAUGACUGGUGCUACACGUUGGAGUUCGUGUCGAGGAUUGAUUGUACACAACGCAAGAAGAGUACUGUUACAAUGGCAAACUGCUGUUUUGGAUGCUGGUGUUGUCCCUUCCAUGCCUGUAAACAUGCAAGGCAGUGCAGACAGUGUCUUUGUCUCCCUCUGCUGGACAUCUUUGGCAUCAUCCCACCCAUCACAAUGUCAAUGAGGGUGUGCAUGCGCCAGCGCUACGGCAUCAAAAUAAGGACAUUUAGAGUUAGCUUCUUUUGGAUAAAAAAAAGCUUACGUUUACCUAAAUCAGCUAAAGCAUAUUAUGAUACAUAUUUUGUCAUCUAACCACACCUGGUGUACUGUGUAAUUCAUAGGUUUAAUUGUUAGUGAACAUUUCCCCCUUCUCUGUCUUGUGUUGGGCCUUUCCAGUGACUGCUUGUAUGAACAUUGAUGAAACAUUGCUGACUGUGUCUCCAGGUUAUGGAGGUAAAAUAAUGACUUAAUUUUACAUGUAAAGUAUGAUUUGCACAUAUGAAUUAUGAUUUGCACAUGUAAAAUAUGAGUUGCACCUGUAUAUUGUGUUUUGUAGUUGCAAAAAAAUAUUUGCAAACGUAACUUAUUUUGAGAAUAAAUGCAACACUUGCAAA